rnacentral:rRNA from 1 species
GACGAACGCUGGCGGCGCGCCUAACACAUGCAAGUCGAACGGAGCUGCGAGAAGCUUGCUUUUCUUAGCUUAGUGGCGAACGGGUGAGUAACGCGUGAGUCACCUGCCCUGGUGUGGGGGACAACAGUUGGAAACGACUGCUCAUACCGCAUAAGCCCACGAUCCGGCAUCGGAUUUAGUGCAAAGGAUUUUUUCGCUUCAGGAUGGACUCGCGUCCAAUUAGCUAGUUGGUGAGGUAACGGCCCACCAAGGCGACGAUUGGUAGCCGGACUGAGAGGUUGAACGGACACAUUGGGACUGAGACACGGCCCAGACUCCUACGGGAGGCAGCAGUGGGGGAUAGUGCACAAUGGGGGAAAACCUGAUGCAGCGACGCCGCGUGGAGGAAGAAGGUUUUCGGAUAGUAAACUCCUGUCGUGAGGGACGAGAAUGACGGUACCUAACAAGAAAGCACCGGCUAACUACGUG